GGGGGUGCACCGGUUUCGACGGGGUCGUUGAGAUCGGGGAAGCGGGUGGAGGAUUCUCGUUGGCCUCCUAAAAAAACGAGAAAGCAAGUAAUUGCAAACAAAACACAGCUCGUAGCUGCUUAAUUUAGCUACCGCCUGAUCUGUAUAUCUGCGUAUAGAUUAUAGGCGCCACCUGCAGACCUUACCCGUCAGAGGUUAAACGGGCCAACCUCUGAGGCAAAGCUUUGAGCUUCAGUUGUAUCUUAUCAAGUUACCGGAAUCAUUGCCUGUCAUUGGGCGAAAUGAGAAAGGGAAUAAAUCCAUUCAAUGACUGCACCCGGAGAUGCCCCGAAGGAUAUGGUUUCGGACAGGAGUUCGAUUCUCCUCACCUCCACCA
rnacentral:tmRNA from 1 species